rnacentral:rRNA from 1 species
UUCAGAUUGCAGGCUGCAACUCGCCUGCAUGAAGUCGGAAUUGCUAGUAAUCGCAGAUCAGCAUGCUGCGGUGAAUACGUUCCCGGGCCUUGUACACACCGCCCGUCACACCAUGGGAGUCGGUAGCACCCGAAGUCGGUAGCCUAACCGUAAGGAGGGCGCCGCCGAAGGUGGGAUUGAUGACUGGGGUGAAGUCGUAACAAGGUAUC